rnacentral:rRNA from 1 species
AACGAACGCUGGCGGCGCGCCUAACACAUGCAAGUCGAACGAGAAGGCGUAGCAAUACGCUUGUAAAGUGGCGAACGGGUGAGGAACACGUGGGUAACCUACCCUCGAGUGGGGAAUAACCAACCGAAGGUUGGCUAAUGCCGCGUACGCUUCCAUCUCUUUGGAGGUGGAAGGAAAGCUGUACCGUGGGUACAGCGCUCAAGGAUGGGCUCACGUCCUAUCAGCUUGUUGGUAGGGUAACGGCCUACCAAGGCAACGACGGGUAGCUGGUCUGAGAGGACGAUCAGCCACACUGGCACUGCGACACGGGCCAGACUCCUACGGGAGGCAGCAGUGAGGAAUAUUGCGCAAUGGGC